GCGGGGCCGGGGAAGCCGUUCGAGCAGCGUCGUGUCGCGGUCCGGGACUGUCCUCAGUCCCGGGUCGUCUCGGCGCGGUUCCGAGCGGUCGCUCCCUCGCGAGGUGCCGCGGGUCAGCGGCUGACGCCAGCCACCUUCCCGACCCGUCUUGAAACACGGACCAAGGAGUCUAACAUGUGCGCGAGCCGCGGGGCAGUACGAAACCCGUAAGGCGAAAUGAAGGUGAACGCCGGCGCGGUCCGGCGGAGGUUGGAUCCCGUCCCGUCGGGGCGGGCGCACUACCGGCCGAUCUUCUCCGCCCUGUCGGCGAGGUCGAGCGAGAGCGUGCAAGUCGGGACCCGAAAGAUGGUGAACUAUGCCUGAGGAGGUUGAAGCCAGAGGAAACUCUGGUGGAGGACCGUAGCGAUUCUGACGUGCAAAUCGAUCGUCAAAUUUGGGUAUAGGGGCGAAAGACUAAUCGAACCGUCUAGUAGCUGGUUCCCUUCGAAGUUUCCCUCAGGAUAGCUGGCGCUCUGUCGCAGUUUUAUCUGGUAAAGCGAAUGAUUAGAGGUCUUGGGGGCGAAACGCCCUCAACCUAUUCUCAAACUUUAAAUUGGUAAGAAGCCCGACUCGCUCGUUUGGAGCCGGGCAUGGAAUGCGAGUGCCAAGUGGGCCACUCUUGGUAAGCAGGACUGGCGAUGCGGGAUGAACCGAACGCCGGGUUAAGGCGCCCGACGCGACGCUCAUCAGAGCCCAAAAAGGUGUUGGUUGAUAUAAACAGCAAGACGGUGGCCAUGGAAGUCGGAAACCGCUAAGGAGUGUGUAACAACUCACCUGC
rnacentral:ncRNA from 1 species